AACGAACGCUGGCAGAAUGCUUAACACAUGCAAGUCGAACGUGAAAGUCCUUCGGGAUGAGUAAAGUGGCGCACGGGUGAGUAACACGUAGGUGACCUGCCGUUUAGAGGGGGAUAACCAGAAGAAAUUUUGGCUAAUACCGCAUACGACGAACAAAUUUAAAAAUAGUUCUUGAAAGGAUGCCUCUGUAUAUGCAUCUACUAAACGAUGGGCCUGCGGUACAUUAGCUAGUUGGUGGGGUAAUGGCCUAACAAGGCGACGAUGUAUAACGGAUCUGAGAGGAUGAUCCGUCACACUGGAACUGAGACACGGUCCAGACUCCUACGGGAGGCAGCAGUGGGGAAUAUUGGACAAUGGGCGAAAGCCUGAUCCAGCAAUUCUGCGUGAGUGAGGAAGGACUUCGGUCUGUAAAGCUCUGUUAAUGUGGAAAAAUGGUCGUUGGUCUAAUAGGCCGAUUAUUUGACGGUACACAUAGAGGAAGCACCGGCUAACUUCGUGCCAGCCGCCGCGGUAA
rnacentral:rRNA from 1 species